CCUACGGGAGGCAGCAGUGGGGAAUCUUCCGCAAUGGGCGAAAGCCUGACGGAGCAACGCCGCGUGAAUGACGAAGGCCUUCGGGUUGUAAAGUUCUGUCUUCAGGGAAGAAGCAAGUGACGGUACCUGAGGAGGAAGCCCCGGCUAACUACGUGCCAGCAGCCGCGGUAAUACGUAGGGGGCAAGCGUUGUCCGGAAUUACUGGGCGUAAAGAGCGUGUAGGCGGGUUAUUAAGUCAGGUGUGAAAACUUGGGGCUCAACCGCAAGAUUGCACCUGAUACUGGUAGUCUUGAGGGUAUGAGAGGGAGACGGUAUUCCUAGUGUAGCGGUGAAAUGCGUAGAUAUUAGGAGGAACACCAGUGGCGAAGGCGGUCUCCUGGCAUACAACUGACGCUGAGACGCGAAAGCGUGGGGAGCAAACAGGAUUAGAUCCCCCUGUAGU
rnacentral:rRNA from 1 species